CAGCAGUCGCGGCAACACAAGGAAGACAAGUGUUAUUCAUCUUAAAUCGGUUUAAAGGGUACCUAGACGGUAAAUUAGGCCUUAAUUGGUACGUUUUUACUAGAGUUAUACAUGCAUGAGGAAUAUGUGAGUAUUACCAGAGUAGAGAUGAAAUUUUUUGAUACUGUUAAGACUGGUAAAGGCAAAAGCAAACCUUUAUAUAUUAACUGACGUUGAGGGACGAAGGCUUGGGGAGCAAACAGGAUUAGAUACCCUAAUAGUCCAGGCAGAGAAUUAUGAAUGUCAUAGAAUAGAUAUAAUAUUUAUCCUAUAAAUGAAAGUGUAAGCAUUCCACCUCAAGAGUAAUGUGGCAACGCAGGAACUGAAAUCAUUAGACCGUUUCUGAUACCAGUAGUGAAGUAUGUCGUUCAAUUUGUUAACCCUCAAAAAACCUUACCACAAUUUGAAUAUAUUUAGUAGAUAUAUAUUUUUUUAUAUAUCUUUAUUUAUACAAGCGUUGCAUUGUUGUCUUCAGUUAAUGUUGUGAGAUUUUGGUUAGAUUCAUAAAAUUAACGUAAUCCUAUAUUCUAUUUAAAUAUUAAUAGAUUAGUUCACCGCUAUAUUGGAUAUUGAUAACCGGGAGUAAGACUAGUCGUAAUGACCUUUAAUAUUUUGUAAUUGUGGAGGACUGUGCUCCAC
rnacentral:rRNA from 1 species